rnacentral:rRNA from 1 species
AAUAUGUAGUGUAGCGGUGAAAUGUUUAGAUAUUACAUAGAACACCAAUUGCGAAGGCAGCAGACUAAGCCGUUAUUGACGCUGAGGCACGAAAGCGUGGGGAUCAAACAGGAUUAGAUACCCUGGUAGUCCACGCUGUAAACGAUGAUAACUCGCUAUUGGCGAUACACAGUCAGUGGCUUAGCGAAAGCGUUAAGUUAUCCACCUGGGGAGUACGACCGCAAGGUUGAAACUCAAAGGAAUUGACGGGGGCCCGCACAAGCGGAGGAACAUGUGGUUUAAUUCGAUGAUACGCGAGGAACCUUACCUAGACUUGAACGUAUUAAGACAGGCUUAGAAAUAGGUUUUCCCUUCGGGGCUUUUUACGAGGUGCUGCAUGGUUGUCGUCAGCUCGUGCCGUGAGGUGUCGGGUUAAGUCCCAUAACGAGCGCAACCCCUACUAUUAGUUGCCAUCAGGUUAAGCUGGGGACUCUAAUAGGACUGCCGGUGCAAGCCGAGAGGAAGGUGGGGAUGACGUCAAAUCAGCACGGCCCUUACGUCUAGGGCGACACACGUGUUACAAUGGGUGGUACAGAGGGUUGCUACACAGCGAUGUGAUGCUAAUCUCAAAAGCCAUUCUCAGUUCGGAUUGGAGGCUGCAACUCGCCUCCAUGAAGCUGGAUUCGCUAGUAAUCGCAU